UACUAAUGCAACUGCGAAUAGCUGUUUAAUACAGUCGUAAUUGUAUUGACUUAAUAUAUAAUGUUAAUAAUACAGUUAUUUAUAGGAUAACUAAGGGAAAGUUUGGCUAAUACGUUUUUUUAGUAUUAAUUCUUAAUACACAUAUAAUAAUAUUAUAAUAUGAUAAAUAUUAUAUAAAUAUUUUAAUACAUAAAUAUUUGUAUUAAUAUAUAGAGUUGACUUUAUAAUAUUUAUUUAUUAUAAAGCAUGUCAAACAAGCAUCUAUAGCAUCAAGUCACAAUGUUGGCAUGUGUAUUAUUGAACCUUCAAAGCAUUUACGCAUUCGGAGGAGUAGUUUCUGAUCCCGUCGAAGGUGCCUGAGAGACGGCACUUAGUUCUAAGGAACGCAGCAGGCGCGUAAAUUGCCCAAUGACAAAACAUGUUAUAAAAUACAUAAUGUAUAUAGAAUACUCAAUAUUUAAUUGAGGCAGUGACAAGCUGUAAAGAUUGAAUAUAUUAAUUAAGAUAACAUUUGGAAUUGUCGUUUUAUAAUAUUUUUUAAUAUUAUAUUACUUGAUAAUAUACCAAUGUUAUAAAAUAUUCAAUUUGAAUGCGGUGAAUGUAAUAAUUUCAAGUAACAUGUAUAAAAUAUUUAUAUUUUAUUAGUUAUCUGAAUUUUCAAGUGGAGGGCAAGUCUGGUGCCAGCAGCCGCGGUAAUACCAGCUCCACUAGCUUAUACAAUCAUUGUUGCGGUUAAGAGGCUCGUAGUUGGAUUGAAUAAACAUAUAUACACAAUACUGUGAACAAACCAGAGUGUAUAAAACAUGUAAUAUAUUAUAUAUUUAGCAAUGAAUGUUUUAUCAUGGAAUAUUGCUAUAAUGAAUAUUAAUAUCGAUGGAGAUAGUUGGAGUUAAGAGUACUGAUAGGCGAGCGGUGAAAUGCAUUGACCCUAUUAAGACUAACAAAAGCGAAAGCACUUAACUAGAUUAUUCUCUUUGUAUUAUUUUACAAUGAAGAGCGAAGGUUGGGGGAACAAAGAGGAUCAGAUACCCUCGUAGUCCUAUUUUUACAUCAAACUAUGGGAUUUCAUUCACACUAAACACUAAACAUUAUAAUUAUAAUUAUGAUUGAGUAUAUGUCAAAAUAUUACUCUCAUAUUAAAUAAUUAUUAUAAUAUAUGAUUAUAUGUACUUUGAGCUCAUAUAAUUAUAUAGGUGAGAUGUAAGCAUUAUAAAGUGAAUAAUAUACAAGUAAUAUUGUAUUAUUAUGAUCUUUAAAAUAAAAAAUGUAAUGUGAUGCACGUUUUAGGUACGAGCUUACUAUAGAAAUAUUUAAAAUAAUACCCUCCUGNNNNNNNNNNNACGCACGUGUGAAACUUGAAGGAAUUGACGGAAGGGCACCACAAGAACGCGUGGAGCAUGUGGCUUAAUUUGACUCAACCCGGGAAAUCUUACCAGGUCCAGACAUAUUGAGGAUUGACAGGCGAUAGUAUAUAAUUCAUUUAUAUGCAUAAAAAUGAUAGUCCUUUCAUGAUUAUAUGAUAGGUGGUGCAUGGCCGUUCUUAGUUCGUGGAGUGAUUUGUCUGCUUAAUUGCGUUUCAGUAAAUAAAAUAUAUAAUAUAUUAUAAUAUUUAGUUCUGCCAUGCAUAAUAUGUAUGGAUUUAAAGUGAACAUAUUAUAUAUAUUAUUAUAUAAUAAAUGAAUGC
rnacentral:rRNA from 1 species